UUUGGGGAAUUAGCUCAGCUGGGAGAGCGCCUGCUUUGCACGCAGGAGGUCAGCGGUUCGAUCCCGCUAUUCU
rnacentral:tRNA from 1 species